rnacentral:rRNA from 1 species
UACGUAGGGGGCAAGCGUUGUUCGGAAUUACUGGGCGUAAAGGGCUCGUAGGCGGCCAACUAAGUCAGACGUGAAAUCCCUCGGCUUAACCGGGGAACUGCAUCUGAUACUGGAUGGCUUGAGUUCGGGAGAGGGAUGCGGAAUUCCAGGUGGAGUGGUGAAAUGCGUAGAGAUCUGGAAGAACACCAAAGGCGAAGGCAGCAUCCUGGGAAGUUCCUGACGCUCGGGUGCGAAAGCCAGGGGAGCGAACGGG